rnacentral:rRNA from 1 species
CAACAGGGAUUGCCUUAGUAGCGGCGAGUGAAGCGGCAAAAGCUCAAAUUUGAAAUCUGGUACUUUCAGUAUCCGAGUUGUAAUUUGUAGAAGCAACUUUGGUGAUGGUCUUUGCAUAAGUUCCUUGGAAUAGGACGUCAUAGAGGGUGAGAAUCCCGUUUAUGGUGAAGAACCCACACUAUGUAAAGUGCUUUCGAAGAGUCGAGUUGUUUGGGAAUGCAGCUCAAAGUGGGUGGUAAAUUCCAUCUAAAGCUAAAUAUUGGCGAGAGACCGAUAGCGAACAAGUACUGUGAAGGAAAGAUGAAAAGAACUUUGAAAAGAGAGUGAAAAAGUACGUGAAAUUGUUGAAAGGGAAGGGAUCUAAAUCAGACAUGGUAUUUUGUGAUCAACAGUCUUUCGGGACUGUGCACUCGCAUUUUACUAGGCCAGCAUCGGUUAGAAGGGGGUAAAAAAGAUUUUGGAAUGUGGCUCUUCGGAGUGUUAUAGCCAAGGUUAAUUGCCCCAUUUCUGACCGAGGACCGCGUCUUUUGACUAGGAUGCUGGCGUAAUGGUUUUGAUCCAC